rnacentral:rRNA from 1 species
AGUGAACGCUGGCGGCAGGCCUAACACAUGCAAGUCGAGCGGCAGCACGGGUAGCGAUACCUGGUGGCGAGCGGCGGACGGGUGAGGAAUACAUCGGAAUCUGCCUUGUUGUGGGGGAUAACGUAGGGAAACUUACGCUAAUACCGCAUAAGACCGAGAGGUGAAAGCGGGGGAUCGAAAGACCUCGCGCGACAAGAUGAGCCGAUGUCGGAUUAGCUAGUUGGCGGGGUAAAGGCCCACCAAGGCGACGAUCCGUAGCUGGUCUGAGAGGAUGAUCAGCCACACUGGAACUGAGACACGGUCCAGACUCCUACGGGAGGCAGCAGUGGGGAAUAUUGGACAAGUGGGCGCAAGCCUGAUCCAGCCAUGCCGCGUGGGU